AGCGAACGCUGGCGGCAGGCUUAACACAUGCAAGUCGAGCGGGCGUAGCAAUACGUCAGCGGCAGACGGGUGAGUAACGCGUGGGAACAUACCUCUUGGUUCGGAACAACACAGGGAAACUUGUGCUAAUACCGGAUAAGCCCUUACGGGGAAAGAUUUAUCGCCGAGAGAUUGGCCCGCGUCUGAUUAGCUAGUUGGUGAGGUAACGGCUCACCAAGGCGACGAUCAGUAGCUGGUCUGAGAGGAUGAUCAGCCACAUUGGGACUGAGACACGGCCCAAACUCCUACGGGAGGCAGCAGUGGGGAAUAUUGGACAAUGGGCGCAAGCCUGAUCCAGCCAUGCCGCGUGAGUGAUGAAGGCCCUAGGGUUGUAAAGCUCUUUUGUGCGGGAAGAUAAUGACGGUACCGCAAGAAUAAGCCCCGGCUAACUUCGUGCCAGCAGCCGCCGUAAC
rnacentral:rRNA from 1 species